UACGGGGGGGGGCAAGCGUUGUUCGGAAUUACUGGGCGUAAAGGGCUCGUAGGCGGCCAACUAAGUCAGACGUGAAAUCCCUCGGCUUAACCGGGGAACUGCAUCUGAUACUGGAUGGCUUGAGUUCGGGAGAGGGAUGCGGAAUUCCAGGUGUAGCGGUGAAAUGCGUAGAUAUCUGGAGGAACACCGGUGGCGAAGGCGGCAUCCUGGACCAACACUGACGCUGAGGAGCGAAAGCCAGGGGAGCAAACGGG
rnacentral:rRNA from 1 species